UACGUAGGGGGCGAGCGUUGUCCGGAUUUACUGGGCGUAAAGGGCGUGCAGGCGGUUUGUUAAGUGCAGGGUGAAAGCUCCCGGCUCAACUGGGAGAGGUCCUUGCAUACUGGCAGACUUGAGGGAGGCAGAGGAAAGUGGAAUUCCCGGUGUAGUGGUGAUAUGCGUAGAUAUCGGGAGGAACACCUGUGGCGAAGGCGGCUUUCUGGGCCUUACCUGACGCUGAGACGCGAAAGCGUGGGGAGCGAACCGG
rnacentral:rRNA from 1 species